UACAGAGGUCCCAAGCGUUGUUCGGAUUCACUGGGCGUAAAGGGUGCGUAGGUGGUUAGGUAAGUCCGAUGUGAAAUCUCCAGGCUCAACCUGGAAAUGGCAUUGGAUACUAUUUAGCUUGAGGAGUGGAGGGGGGGACUGGAAUUCUCGGUGUAGCAGUGAAAUGCGUAGAUAUCGAGAGGAACACCAGUGGCGAAGGCGAGUCCCUGGACACUUCCUGACACUGAGGCACGAAAGCUAGGGGAGCAAACAGG
rnacentral:rRNA from 1 species